ensembl:lncRNA
AUUUGAGGGCUGACCCCCACUGGGGAAGGUUCUGUGGUUGUAGGUCUCUCUUUUGUGAAGUUUUCCCUGGGAGCCUAGGUCUUUGGAGAUGGGAAUGCCUCAGGAAGGUAACCUUGAUGUGGAUGAUAUCGAUGCUGUUUUGAAAGGGAGAAUACAGAAGGCCACUGCAGAAGGUUGAAGUGACAGUUCCUGUUUUGUGGUGCUCGAAGGCCACCUUCGAUCGGUGGUCGUGUCUCAGCUGAAGAGACUAGGAGGAUAACAUUGUAAAACAUGGACCCCAGUGGCUUCUGCAGGCAUGCUCAGGGAGGGCUAACGUUCAGUUGUCAAAGCCAAUAGAUAUUUAAUAAAUCCUUUCUAACUUAGUGAUUGUUGUCCUUAGGCAUCCCUUCUCUUUGUAGCAGUCUAGAUGAACUGAAGGAGAACAUUAACCCAUGUGUACUGUUUACAGUUGAUUUGUACAUUUUUCUGCCAGCAGAGACAGUGAAAUAGCAUGAGUCUGGCCAGUAUGUUAUUUGGAGAGAGAAAACUAAUCUGAAGUGUGGGGAUUCAGAUCCAGACAUCAGGAGUUUGCACAGCUGGAUCUGGAUUCACGUGUGGAUUUUAAAUAUUCUUAUUAUUCAGAGUUGUUUGUAUUUUGAGAGCUGAUCCUGAUCUUUCUGAUUCCCUAGCGUAGAAGUACAUUGCUUUGACUCAUGAGGAAAAGGUGAUGUAGCAAGCAGUUUAACUGUAGAUGGAAAGUGGCCAGUGUAGCACACAUGCUGUUAUUUUAAAGUCAUAGAAAGGCAGUUUGGCCUCUGCUUGUGUCACUGAAGUGCUCUUUUUGGGUUGUGAUCUUUUUUCUGGCCCAAAUGUCAUCAUAGGUAGAUUCAGUCUUCCUGCCCUGCCUUCUGCUGGGCCUUUCUCCUGGUCUACGCUUCACCAGGGCUUUGAGGGACUCCUUCUCUGCAACCCCUACCAUCUGGAAUAGCUUCACUGUGGCUCUCUGCCUCAUUGACUCUCUUCUUAAUUUCAAUUCUCAGUUGACCAUUUAUAUUUUCUACCUUGCCAAUUUCUUUUAAUUUCCCUGUCCAUCUGCUUGGUCUAUUUAACUCUGUGAAAGCUUUCAGGUUAUGUAUUUUUUAGUGGCUGCAUGUGAAAAUGGUACUGUAUUAUAUAUAUGAACAACUUCCCCAGUUUGGACAAGCGUGUUGUUAGCAUCAGCUGAAAAAAACUAUGUCUACCUGAUGUGCUUAGUGUUACACUUCACAAAGUUAGAGGGGGAUGCUGAGAUUUGCGUUGACAGCCAAAGGAAUAUACUUACUCUCCUAGAGCUGCAGCAAGCAGAACAGAUGGUAUUUUUCUCCAUUGCCCAUCACUCUCUGUCCUUUCCUUCCUCAUGCCCCAUUGUUCAUUUUCCAUACCUCACUGUCACUUUGGGUUGGAUUCAACACCUGCUGAAGUCAGUGGAGAAUCUCCCACUGCCUUUGAAUCUUGCUUUUUGUGAUCUUUCCUCCCUCUGGCUAUGCCUGUACCCAGAUCCCUUCUCUGACCUCUCAAUGGUUUGGAUUAUGUCUGUGCAUCAUUCUCUUUUUACUUCCUAUACUUUUCCAAAAGCCUCAGCAGAGCAGUGAUGGGGAAAACUGUAUGGAACAGAUGGUUCUUCAUUCAGCAGGUAGAAAGAAAACCAGUGAUUUUUUUCCAGUUUAGAAUACUUUUGAACAAUGUUUCUCCUAGCUUUUUCCUCACUGAGCCAAAAAGAAAACAAAACCGUAGUCUGAAGUUAAAAAAAAAAAAAAAAAACUAAUAAUGUUAGAAUUAUAUUGAAAUGUUUUGUUGGAGAUUUUCUUUUUAAUUUAAAAGAAAAAAAAGAAAAAAAAAAGAACAUAUCAAAAUGAAAAUAAAAGCCACUAUUUUGAAAAU